rnacentral:misc_RNA from 1 species
AUAUUAUUUCUCGGUGUGUUCAGGUGAGAAUUUCUCUCUUCUUCCUCUUCUUCAUUUUUUUUUAUCUCAUCACUGUGUCCACUAGGACUUAUUUCAUGCAUUGGGUUACAAAGAUCCAUGCCAGUAAGGUACUAUUGGUUCCAAGAUUAGUAUUUAAUUUCUGCAAUGGUUCCUUGUCUUUCCUGGAAUUCUGUUUUUUCAAGGGUUAUACUUCACACUAGUGAGCAUAGUACAAAAACAUAAUGAUCAUUGCUAAUCAAAUAUGAAACAAAUUUUUAUCAAACAGAUGGCCAGGAUAUGGAUUGUGUAAGAGAGGGAAGGAUGAAAAGUAAUUGUUUCUUUUUCAUCGCGGAUAUUUGUUCGUACUUCCCAUGUCCUAUAUAUCAUGGGUGCAGACGUGAGAGUGGUAUAAGUUGAUGAAACAAGGGUAAAAAAUGAACAUGAAGACAUAAGAUCACAACGAUGGUUUAGCACAUGCACAUGCAAGUUCAAAACAAUAAAAUACAACAAUUCUUUCACAUAAAAUUCUCUUAGCUUGUGCCAUGCCAUCUUCAUCACCAUUUGUAUUUGUGUGUUUUCUUGGUAGAGUACUGAAAAGGAGAAAAUUUCACAUCAGGUAGUUUACUUUGUUAUCUACCCGUAUAGAAUUGCUUCCCUGACCUCAAGUUUUAUCUUACAGACUCAGCCAGAAUUCAGGCCAUCAAUGUCUGAAGUUGUCCAGGAUCUGCUAGACAUGAUUCGGAGAGAGCGCCACAGCAGUGAGUCAAUUGGGGACUGAUAGAA